rnacentral:rRNA from 1 species
UACGAAGGGGGCUAGCGUUGUUCGGAUUUACUGGGCGUAAAGCGCACGUAGGCGGAUCUUUUAAGUCAGAGGUGAAAUCCCAAGGCUCAACCUUGGAACUGCCUUUGAUACUGGGGAUCUUGAGUCCGGGAGAGGUGAGUGGAACUGCGAGUGUAGAGGUGAAAUUCGUAGAUAUUCGCAAGAACACCAGUGGCGAAGGCGGCUCACUG